UUACGGCCACAUCACGUUGAAAUACAGGUUCCUGUACGAUCACCGAAGGUAAGCAACAUCGAGCCUGUUCAGUACCUGGAUGGUAGACCAUUUGGUAAUACCAGGUGCUGUAA